GCAGGUGAAAGCAACGUUAAGCGAUGAACGUUGUGCUCCAUAAUUGUAGUUUUUCUCACAUUGAAUCUUUAUAUAAAUUGCCCAUUCCUGUGCCGAUGUUAUUUUUUAAUGUCGGCUUUU
rnacentral:sRNA from 1 species